rnacentral:misc_RNA from 1 species
UGGUGCUCACGCGAUAUUGUAACCAAGGAGGCCCCAACAACGGACUUAAGGUAAUAGCACCUCCACCAAUGACCACAAUGGAGCAGCUUUUGGCUGUUCAGAAUGCAAUUUCUCAAGCUGAACAGCUCAUCCAAGAUGGAAACAUUUUCCUUCUCAAGUUUCGUGCCUUAUUGCUGUCCAUUUUCCCCCAGGCGAGCGAGAAAUUUGCAGCAGCAC